AUGCCGGCGCCGCUGGCGACACAAGUGCCUCGAACAGAAAUUUUGGAAAACCAUGUUAGCAACUUGAAUCUUCUGAGCUGGAAUUGCCGAGGGUGUGGAAAUUCUCGUACAAUACGGGAUCUUGUGAGCUUGGUGCAGGUUCAUUCUCCUACUAUCGUCUUUCUUUGUGAAACUAGGCAAAGGAAAGAUAAGAUGAAAAGAUAUCGAUCCCGCUUAGGUCUAAGUGGUUUCGAAGCAGUCAAUAGCAAUGGUCUUAGUGGUGGCUUAGCUCUUUUCUGGCAUGAAUCGGUACAACUGGAUGUAAAAGAUAUGAAUGAACAAUAUAUUGAUGCCUAUGUGAGUGCUGCGACGGGGGAGCCACCUUGGCGGCUUACCUGCGUCUAUGGAGAACCGCGGACGGAGGACCGACAUCGCAUGUGGUCCAUCCUCCGAGACUCCACCGCCAAGCCGACAUGCCGUGGGUGGUGGUCGGAGACUUCAACGAGGCUAUGUGGAGCUUCGAACACUUCUCCGAAUCACCGCAGCCGGCAGGUCAGAUGA
rnacentral:rRNA from 1 species